UACAGAGGGUGCGAGCGUUGCCCGGAAUCACUGGGCGUAAAGGGCGCGUAGGCGGAUGGCACAGUCAGAUGUGAAAUUCCCGGGCUUAACCUGGGGGCUGCAUUUGAUACGUGUUGUCUUGAGUUCGGAAGAGGGUCGUGGAAUUCCCAGUGUAGAGGUGAAAUUCGUAGAUAUUGGGAAGAACACCGGUGGCGAAGGCGGCGACCUGGUCCGACACUGACGCUGAGGCGCGAAAGCGUGGGGAGCAAACAGG
rnacentral:rRNA from 1 species